rnacentral:rRNA from 1 species
GACGAACGCUGGCGGCGUGCUUAACACAUGCAAGUCGAGCGAUGAAAUCCCUUCGGGGAUGAAUUAGCGGCGAACGGGUGAGGAACACGUGAGAAAUCUGCCUUCAACACUGGGAUAACUCCGGGAAACCGGGGCUAAUACCGGAUAUGAAACUCAGCGGCAUCGCUGGGUUUGGAAAGUUUUUCGGUUGAAGAUGAUCUCGCGGCCUAUCAGCUUGUUGGUGAGGUAAUGGCUCACCAAGGCGACGACG